AGUGAACGCUGGCGGUAGGCCUAACACAUGCAAGUCGAACGGCAGCACAGUAAGAGCUUGCUCUUACGGGUGGCGAGUGGCGGACGGGUGAGGAAUACAUCGGAAUCUACUUUUUCGUGGGGGACAACGUAGGGAAACUUACGCUAAUACCGCAUACGACCUACGGGUGAAAGUAGGGGAUCUUCGGACCUUGCGCGAUUGAAUGAGCCGAUGUCGGAUUAGCUAGUUGGCGGGGUAAAGGCCCACCAAGGCGACGAUCCGUAGCUGGUCUGAGAGGAUGAUCAGCCACACUGGAACUGAGACACGGUCCAGACUCCUACGGGAGGCAGCAGUGGGGAAUAUUGGACAAUGGGCGCAAGCCUGAUCCAGCCAUACCGCGUGGGUGAAGAAGGCCUUCGGGUUGUAAAGCCCUUUUGUUGGGAAAGAAAAGCAGCAGGUUAAUACCCCGCUGUUCUGACGGUACCCAAAGAAUAAGCACCGGCUAACUUCGUG
rnacentral:rRNA from 1 species